rnacentral:rRNA from 1 species
CCUACGGGAGGCAGCAGUGAGGAAUAUUGGUCAAUGGGCUUACGCCUGAACCAGCAAAGUCGCGUGAGGGAAGACUGCCCUAUGGGUUGUAAACCUCUUUUGUCAGGGAGCAACGCCGGCUACGUGUAGCCGGACUGAGAGUACCUGAAGAAAAAGCAUCGGCUAACUACGUGCCAGCAGCCGCGGUAAUACGGAGGAUGCGAGCGUUAUCCGGAUUUAUGGGGUUUAAAGGGUGCGUAGGCGGAAUGCCAAGUCAGCGGUAAAAUAGCGGGGCUCAACCUCGCUCCGCCGUUGAAACUGGCGUUCUUGAGUGGGCGAGAAGUAUGCGGAAUGCGUGGUGUAGCGGUGAAAUGCAUAGAUAUCACGCAGAACUCCGAUUGCGAAGGCAGCAUACCGGCGCCCAACUGACGCUGAAGCACGAAAGCGUGGGUAUCGAACAGGAUUAGAUACCCUUGUAGUC